GAAAUAAUGUCCAUGAAUUUGUUAUGGGAGAUAGAUCACAUCCACAAAGUGAUGAUAUAUAUGCAAAGCUAGCUGAGAUUACAAUGUUGUUACGACUAGAAGGUUAUAUGCCUCGCACCACCAAUGUGCUCGCCGACAUUGAAGAGGAGGAAAAGGAGACUGCUCUAUCAUAUCACAGUGAGAAGAUUGCAAUUGCAUUCAUGCUCAUUAGUACCCCACCUUGCACCCCAAUCAGUGUUGUAAAGAAUCUGAGGGUUUGUGCAGACUGCCAUUUAGCAAUAAAACUCAUAUCCAAGGUUUACAACCGAGAAAUUGUUGUGAGAGAUCGCAGUAGAUUCCACCAUUUUAGAAAUGGUUCAUGUUCUUGUAGAGAUUAUUGGUAAACAUUUGUUUACUUUAUCAAAAUUUUAAAGAAAUGCUAAUGAUGCUCUCUGUAAUUAUGAUUCAUGCAACUAAUCUGUAAAAGAACUUGUCAAUUCUUCUUUUUUCAUACUAAGUCUUGUACACGAGAGGAGUCUUCAUUAAUUCUGCACAUCUUCUAUUUAUUUUCCUGGCAUUUUCUCCUACAAACUUUAUCCCUUCAGAUAUCUCAGGUGAAUAAGGCUGACAAUUUAAACCACAAAGUUUGUGCAGUCUCUGAGAUGAGGAAGCAGCUGAGACUAUUUGGGUUUCCUGACGUGAUUUCCCCUGAUAUUUAUAAGGACAAUGAUUGUGAAGCUUGAGCUCUUGGGCAUAUCCGCAUUGCAUACUAGAUAUGGUCAUCCAACAUCUAACAUCCAGGUCUUAUUGCCCGAUAUCAAUCCAAAUCCAAGUAUAUCAGGCAUGGAAGGAGCAGAUUUUACUCGCUUUGCGACCAUCCUCAGUUUUUCACAACCGACAAUAGUAAAAAUUUUGAGAGAAGGCAGAGCUCCGUACUCAAUUUGCCAUUCUUUCAGAUUGGGGAGAUAUGCAGACUAUUUCUCCCCUUGUGCACACUCCCAUACCCAUAUACAGAGCAGUAAGAUUUGAAAAACUCCAUAAAGUGGGCAUCAGAUCUUGUAUGAACUCACUACCUUGCAACUGAAUCUGGUAAAAAACUUAAGUCUAAUGGAUCUUUCUUUACAGUGGCUUGCACAUUAGAUUCAGCUUUGGGGCAAGAGUGGAAUAGAAUCCGACCUUUGUCUGAGCUAGUGCUAAGGGUGUGGCGAGUAAAAGAACAAGAAGCAAAUAUAAUUUUUUAAGAAAAGAAUCCAUUUGAGCUUUGUGAUGCAUUACUAUUGUUAUAAGUUUGUUUGAAUUAAUU